rnacentral:rRNA from 1 species
GAUGAACGCUGGCGGCGUGCCUAAUACAUGCAAGUCGAGCGAGCAGACGAGGAGCUUGCUCCUCUGACGUUAGCGGCGGACGGGUGAGUAACACGUGGAUAACCUACCUAUAAGACUGGGAGAACUUCGGGAAACCGGAGCUAAUACCGGAGAAUAUAUUGAACCGCAUGGUUCAAUAGUGAAAGACGGUUUUGCUGUCACUUAUAGAUGGAUCCGCGCCGCAUUAGCUAGUUGGUAAGGUAACGGCUUACCAAGGCGACGAUGCGUAGCCGACCUGAGAGGGUGAUCGGCCACACUGGAACUGAGACACGGUCCAGACUCCUACGGGAGGCAGCAGUAGGGAAUCUUCCGCAAUGGGCGAAAGCCUGACGGAGCAACGCCGCGUGAGUGAUGAAGGUCUUCGGAUCGUAAAACUCUGGUAUUAGGGAAGAACAAAUGUGUAAGUAACUAUGCACGUCUUGACGGUACCUAAUCAGAAAGCCACGGCUAACUACGUG